UGGUGAUGGAUGUGUUGGCUUAAUGGUGAUGGAUGUGUUGGCUUAAUGGUGAUGGAUGUGUUGGCUUAAUGGUGAUGGGGGUAUUGACUUAAUGGUGAUGGGGGUGUUGGCUUAAUGGUGAUGGAUGUGUUGGCUUAAUGGUGAUGGAUGUGUUGGCUUAAUGGUGAUGGGGGUAUUGACUUAAUGGUGAUGGGGGUGUUGGCUUAAUGGUGAUGGAUGUGUUGGCUUAAUGGUGAUGGAUGUGUUGGCUUAAUGGUGAUGGAUGUGUUGGCUUAAUGGUGAUGGGGGUAUUGACUUAAUGGUGAUGGGGGUAUUGACUUAAUGGUGAUGGAUGUGUUGGCUUAAUGGUGAUGGAUGUGUUGGCUUAAUGGUGAUGGAUGUGUUGGCUUAAUGGUGAUGGAUGUGUUGGCUUAAUGGUGAUGGAUGUGUUGGCUUAAUGGUGAUGGGGGUGUUGGCUUAAUGGUGAUGGAUGUGUUGGCUUAAUGGUGAUGGAUGUGUUGGCUUAAUGGUGAUGGGGGUGUUGGCUUAAUGGUGAUGGAUGUGUUGGCUUAAUGGUGAUGGAUGUGUUGGCUUAAUGGGGAUGGAUGUGUUGGCUUAGCAAGAUGUAGGUAACAGGAGAGAGAGACACGGGGAGAGAUGGAGAGAAAAAGAGAUGAUAGAGAGAGUCACUGGAGAGAAUGUCAUGCAGUAUGUAUAUGGACCAGCCUCGUGUGUCAUGCAGUAUGUUUUCUGUCAGAUAUGUUUUGUCUUCCCAGAGCUGCCGUGACGGAGGCCGGACUCGUGUGGGACCGCGGAGAUGCCGGGCCAAGCAGGGGAGACAUCACGGAGAGUCACACCAAGAUAGAUAGGUCAAUUUAGGUCAACAUAUGUCCUCAGUGUGUUAGUGAGGAUAGGCUAUCACUGGUUAGCUGUCUAAUCAUUGGGAGUGACUAGUUUGCAGAGCUCGGCAACAUUAUGGAAUACUAAAUGAUAUCAAGUGAUUGUUUUUAGUCUUAAAUUUACUCUCUCCUCCUCCUCCUCCUCCUCCUCCUCCUCUCUGUCUAUCUUCAUCCCUUCCUUCCUUUUAAUAAAUAAGUUAUCUUUUGCUUAAUUAACGUUUAUAAUUCUUUAUGGUGGUCAAAUCUUGCAUCUCAUUUCCCUGUCGUCCAUUCUCUCUCCUCCUCCUCCUCCUCUCUGUCUUUCUUCAUCCCUUCCUUUCUUUUAAUAAGUCCAAGUUAUCUUUUGCUUAAUUAACGUUUAUAAUUCUUUCUGGUGGUCAAAUCUUGCAUCCAAUUUCCUAUCGUCCAUUCUCUCUCUUCCUCCUCCUCUCUGUCUAUCUUCAUCCCUUCCUUUCUUUUAAUAAGUCCAAGUUAUCUUUUGCUUAAUUAACGUUUAUAAUUCUUUCUGGUGGUCAAAUCUUGCAUCCCAUUUCCAUUCGUUCAUUCUCUCUCCUCCUCCUCCUCUCUAUAUAUAUAUCUUCAUCCCGUCCUUCCUUUUAAUUAAUGUCUAAGUUAUCCUUUGAGUGACGUUCUUUCUGGCGGUCAAAUCUUGCAUCCAAUUUCCUAUCGUCCAUUCUCUCUCUUCCUCCUCCUCUCUGUCUAUCUUCAUCCCUUCCUUCCUUUUAAUAAAUAAGUUAUCUUUUGCUUAAUUAACGUUUAUAAUUCUUUCUGUUGGUCAAAUCUUGCAUCUCAUUUCCCUGUCGUCCAUUCUCUCUCCUCCUCCUCCUCCUCCUCCUCUCUAUAUAUAUAUCUUCAUCCCGUCCUUCCUUUUAAUUAAUGUCUAAGUUAUCCUUUGAGUGACGUUCUUUCUGGCGGUCAAAUCUUGCAUCCUAUUUCCUAUCGUCCAUUCUCUCUCUUCCUCCUUCUCCUCCUCUGGCUAUCUUCAUCCCUUCCUUCCUUUUAAUUAAUGUCUAAGUUAUCCUUUGAGUGACGUUCUUUCUGGCGGUCAAAUCUUGCAUCCUAUUUCCUAUCGUCCAUUCUCUCUCUUCCUCCUUCUCCUCCUCUGGCUAUCUUCAUCCCUUCCUUCCUUUUAAUUAAUGUCUAAGUUAUCUAUCGCUCAAGGUUCCUUCCAGUGUGUUUGUGGUGUCCGGCUCUGCUUGCUAGUUAGUUUUGUCACUGUAUAAUUGUCAAUCCUAGCUAGUUUUGCCACUGUAUAAUUGUCAAUCCUAGUUUGUUUUGUCACUGUAUAAUUGUGAGUCCUAGUUUGCUUUGUCCCUGUAUAAUUGUCCGUCCCAGCCAGGCGCCUCUUCCAUGUAAAGAUAUCGGCAGCUUCAAGCCUUGCCGAUAUCUCAAUCCGUACGUGAAUGUAAAUUAACCGAAAUCCUUGUUACUAAGUCCUGCACGGUGCUCUCUCACAUAAUGCUUCUUUAAAUUUUCAGUCUCACUUAAUUUCCGGGGUUAGUAAUAUAUUUUGCCAUAAGUUAACUCCCCGUGAUGGCCAGUUUCAUGUACUAUAUAUAAGUAAUUUGCCUUUUGCAUGGCUAUAAUUCUGCAUCCGUGUCUAAGGCCCAGUUUCACAGUUCCUCAUGAUGGGUUAGUAAGCUCCAAAACCAAUACCAGAGCCUUCGAAAUUUCCUUGUACGGUGUCUGGAGUUUAUAUUCAAGUUCACAAAUUUGACAAGACUAUACAGGAAAGGUCUUGUGUGUUUAUGCUACGAAGGAAAGGGAGGAGAAGGGAGAUGAGAUUGGGAGACGAGUGAGCCGAGAUCCUGUUUAUAUUCCAGUUCACAAAUUUGACGAGACUAUACAGGAAAGGUCUUGUGUGUUUAUGCUACGAAGGAAAGGGAGGAGAAGGGAGAUGAGAUUGGGGGACGAGUGAGCCGAGAUCCUGUUUAUAUUCAAGUUCACAAAUUUGACAAGACUAUACAGGAAAAGCUCUCUGUUUAUGAUAUGAAGGAAAGGGAAGAGAAGGGAGAUGAGUAAGCUGAGAUCCUGUUUUUAUUCAAGUCCACAAAUUUGACGACACAAUACAGGAAAAGCUCUGUGUAUUUAGUGUGUCAUCGAAGACCGCGCCAUUUUGAACAGUAUGGGAUUCUAUAGCUUGGUUCGGGAGUGUUACAAAGACCAUGAUGGACUGUGGAAGCGGCCCUUAAUGUUCCCUUUUCUAAUAUGCUUCUCUGUUUUUGCAGGAUGCCGCGGACGGACCAUGCAGAGGACUCAUCGCGACGACACCAACGGUUUGGUUAAGUGGGUUCUUUUGUGUGUGCGUCUGUGUGUGAAUGGCAGGCCUGUCGUAUGAUUGUGUGUGUGUGUGCGUUGGCGUUAUGCCUUCGCACUAUUAUUUUGUUAGGAUGUAUUUUUGUGUGUGAACUUUUUGCACGUAAUCUUUUUUUAUACCCAUAGCUAGCGUUUGUUUGUGUGGCAGUGUUCCGGGAGAUGGACGCCGGGGGACAUGGGCUUGGGGAGGCGCACAUGACCUCCUCUGUCCGUGAUCUCUUCAGCUGGGGAGACCGUGUGUUGCCCCGCCUGGAGAGACACGUUGAUGGAGGUGGCCGUGUGUGUCACCCUUUGCCUGUAUCCUCUGGCGCCCAGAGGCGCGUAAGCGGAGAGCAUCGGCGCAGCGCGGGAGCAGCACGUCAGGGUGUAGGGUGUUUGUUUAGCUGGUGUAGGGUGUUAGGGUGUUAGGUGUAACAACGGUUGGCUCUUUCACAGAACGGGUGUGAUUCCGUUCUGCGUUUGAGUCUUCCACCUUCAGACGGUCUCCCUCCGAGAUGUCUGAAGUUUUUUUGUCGGUUUUCUCCGUAGGAGGAAGCCGACUCUAGCUACUCUGGCCUCUCUUCCGGGGGUCAGAGCGGUCGGGCUCUGCUUGGCCAGGCGUUAGUCUUUCGCGUUGUCUCCGCCGACGUUUUGCCAGACUCUUCCGUAAGGUUGAGCCUGGCUUUUUUAUUAGGUGGAUCAGGCUGCCUUCUUCCAAGGAGUCUGAUGGGAGUGGAGUCUUUUUUUUGGUGUAUGUCUGUGGGUACUUAGUGGGUAAGGGAGGGUGGGGUAGAAUGGUUG